UCUUGCACAAUGGGGGAAACCCUGAUGCAGCGACGCCGCGUGAGCGAUGAAGCCCUUCGGGGUGUAAAGCUCUUUCGGCAGGGACGAUAAUGACGGUACCUGAAGAAGAAGCUGCGGCUAACUACGUGCCAGCAGCCGCGGUAAUACGUAGGCAGCGAGCGUUGUUCGGAGUUACUGGGCGUAAAGAGUGCGUAGGCGGUUUUCUAAGUUUGGUGUGAAAUCUCCCGGCUUAACUGGGAGGGUGCGCCGAAGACUGGAAGGCUUGAGUAUGGGAGAGGUAAGCGGAAUUCCUGGUGUAGCGGUGAAAUGCGUAGAUAUCAGGAGGAACACCUGCGGUGUAGACGGCUUACUGGACCAUAACUGACGCUGAGGCACGAAAGCGUGGGUAGCAAACAGG
rnacentral:rRNA from 1 species